CAGCAGCCGCGGUAAUACGUAGGGCGCAAGCGUUAUCCGGAAUUAUUGGGCGUAAAGAGCUCGUAGGCGGUUUGUCGCGUCUGCCGUGAAAGUCCGGGGCUCAACCCCGGAUCUGCGGUGGGUACGGGCAGACUAGAGUGAUGUAGGGGAGACUGGAAUUCCUGGUGUAGCGGUGAAAUGCGCAGAUAUCAGGAGGAACACCGAUGGCGAAGGCAGGUCUCUGGGCAUUAACUGACGCUGAGGAGCGAAAGCAUGGGGAGCGAACAGGAUUAGAUACCCCGGUAGUCCCUGUCUCUUAUAC
rnacentral:rRNA from 1 species